rnacentral:rRNA from 1 species
UGGGGAAUUUUUCGCAAUGGGCGCAAGCCUGACGAAGCAACGCCGCGUGGAGGAUGAAGGCCCUAGCGGUCGUAAACUCCUGUCUAGCGGGACGAAAGUUAUCAGGGUGAAUAAUCCUGGUGGUUGACUGUACCGCUGGAGGAAGCUCCGGCCAACUCCGUGCCAGCAGCCGCGGUAAGACGGAGGGUGCUAGCGUUGUUCGGAAUCACUGGGCGUAAAGGGCGCGUAGGCGGCCUGGGAAGUCGGCUUGUGAAAGCCCGGGGCUCAACCCCGGAGGUGCGGCCGAUACUCUCAGGCUCGAGGCCGGAAGAGGAGGGUGGAAUACCCAGUGUAGAGGUGAAAUUCGUAGAUAUUGGGUGGAACACCGGUGGCGAAAGCGGCUCUCUGGUCCGGACCUGACGCUGAGGCGCGAAAGCGUGGGGAGCAA